rnacentral:rRNA from 1 species
AUUGAACGCUGGCGGCAUGCUUUACACAUGCAAGUCGAACGGCAGCACGGGUGCUUGCACCUGGUGGCGAGUGGCGGACGGGUGAGUAAUGCAUCGGAACGUGUCCUGAAGUGGGGGAUAACGCAUCGAAAGAUGUGCUAAUACCGCAUAUUCUCUGAGGAGGAAAGUAGGGGAUCGAAAGACCUUAUGCUUUUGGAGCGGCCGAUGUCUGAUUAGCUAGUUGGUAGGGUAAUGGCUUACCAAGGCGACGAUCAGUAGUUGGUCUGAGAGGACGGCCAGCCACACUGGGACUGAGACACGGCCCAGACUCCUACGGGAGGCAGCAGUGGGGAAUUUUGGACAAUGGGCGCAAGCCUGAUCCAGCCAAUGCCGCGUGAGUGAAGAAGGCCUCGGGUU